AGAGUUUGAUCCUGGCUCAGGACGAACGCUGGCGGCGUGCUUAACACAUGCAAGUCGAACGGAAAGGCCCUUCGGGGUACUCGAGUGGCGAACGGGUGAGUAACACGUGGGUGAUCUGCCCUGCACUUUGGGAUAAGCCUGGGAAACUGGGUCUAAUACCGAAUAUGACCAUGCGCCUCCUGGUGUGUGGUGGAAAGCUUUUGCGGUGUGGGAUGGGCCCGCGGCCUAUCAGCUUGUUGGUGGGGUAAUGGCCUACCAAGGCGACGACGGGUAGCCGGCCUGAGAGGGUGACCGGCCACACUGGGACUGAGAUACGGCCCAGACUCCUACGGGAGGCAGCAGUGGGGAAUAUUGCACAAUGGGCGCAAGCCUGAUGCAGCGACGCCGCGUGAGGGGUGACGGCCUUCGGGUUGUAAACCUCUUUCAGCACAGACGAAGCGCAAGUGACGGUAUGUGCAGAAGAAGGACCGGCCAACUACGUGCCAGCAGCCGCGGUAAUACGUAGGGUCCGAGCGUUGUCCGGAAUUACUGGGCGUAAAGAGCUCGUAGGUGGUUUGUCGCGUUGUUCGUGAAAACUCACAGCUUAACUGUGGGCGUGCGGGCGAUACGGGCAGACUUGAGUACUGCAGGGGAGACUGGAAUUCCUGGUGUAGCGGUGGAAUGCGCAGAUAUCAGGAGGAACACCGGUGGCGAAGGCGGGUCUCUGGGCAGUAACUGACGCUGAGGAGCGAAAGCGUGGGGAGCGAACAGGAUUAGAUACCCUGGUAGUCC
rnacentral:rRNA from 1 species